GCGUUCUUCACAGGAUUGUACACAUUUCUCAACUUUCAUUUGUAAAUCACCCAAAUCAACGACGCCAUGAACGGCUAAUAGGCACGCUCUCGCGAUAUGAAUGGCGGGUGUUGGGUCAGGAUUUUGAAGGAUCAAUUCAACCCAUUGAGCUAAUGAUACAGGAGAGGUGAAAACGGCGUGAAUCAUCAGUAGAGCCAGGCGGGGUAAAUCAGCCUUAUCUAUAGGGC